rnacentral:rRNA from 1 species
AGAACGAACGCUGGCGGCAUGCCUAAUACAUGCAAGUCGAACGAACUCUUCGGAGUUAGUGGCGCACGGGUGCGUAACGCGUGGGAAUCUGCCCCUUGGUUCGGAAUAACAGUUGGAAACGACUGCUAAUACCGGAUGAUGACGAAAGUCCAAAGAUUUAUCGCCAAGGGAUGAGCCCGCGUAGGAUUAGCUAGUUGGUGAGGUAAAGGCUCACCAAGGCAACGAUCCUUAGCUGGUCUGAGAGGAUGAUCAGCCACACUGGGACUGAGACACGGCCCAGACUCCUACGGGAGCAGCAGUAGGAAUAUUGGACAAUGGGAC